UACGGAGGGUGCAAGCGUUGUCCGGAUUUAUUGGGUUUAAAGGGUGCGUAGGCGGUUAAUUAAGUCAGUGGUGAAAUCCUGGAGCUCAACUUCAGAACUGCCAUUGAUACUGGUUGACUUGAGUACAGACGAGGUUGGCGGAAUUGAUGGUGUAGCGGUGAAAUGCAUAGAUACCAUCAAGAACACCGAUUGCGAAGGCAGCUAACUAGGCUGACACUGACGCUCAGGCACGAAAGCGUGGGGAGCAAACAGG
rnacentral:rRNA from 1 species